rnacentral:rRNA from 1 species
UACGAAGGGGGCUAGCGUUGCUCGGAAUCACUGGGCGUAAAGCGCACGUAGGCGGAUUGUUAAGUCAGGGGUGAAAUCCUGGAGCUCAACUCCAGAACUGCCUUUGAUACUGGCGAUCUUGAGUCCGGGAGAGGUGAGUGGAACUCCGAGUGUAGAGGUGAAAUUCGUAGAUAUUCGGAAGAACACCAGUGGCGAAGGCGGCUCACUGGCCCGGUACUGACGCUGAGGCGCGAAAGCCAGGGGAGCAAACGGG